GCUGAUGUAGUGUAGUGGUUAGCACGUGGGAUUUUGAUUCAAAGCUUUCAACGCUUCACGUCAAAGUUCCCGAGUCCCCGGUUCGAACCCGGGCAACAGCU